rnacentral:rRNA from 1 species
GACGAACGCUGGCGGCGUGCUUAACACAUGCAAGUCGAACGGAAAGGCCCUGCUUGCAGGGUACUCGAGUGGCGAACGGGUGAGUAACACGUGGGUGAUCUGCCCUGCACUUCGGGAUAAGCCUGGGAAACUGGGUCUAAUACCGGAUAGGAGCCAUUUUUAGUGUGAUGGUUGGAAAGUUUUUUCGGUGUAGGAUGAGCUCGCGGCCUAUCAGCUUGUUGGUGGGGUAAUGGCCUACCAAGGCGGCGACGGGUAGCCGGCCUGAGAGGGUGGACGGCCACAUUGGGACUGAGAUACGGCCCAGACUCCUACGGGAGGCAGCAGUGGGGAAUAUUGCACAAUGGGCGCAAGCCUGAUGCAGCGACGCCGCGGGGGGGAUGACGGCCUUCGGGUUGGAAACUCAUUUCGCUAGGGACGAAGCUUUUUGUGACGGUACCUAGAUAAGAAGCACCGGCUAACUACGUG